AGCUAUACAUGCAGUCGAGCGCGGGAAGCGAGUGGAUCCCUUCGGGGUGAAGCUCGUGGAACGAGCGGCGGACGGGUGAGUAACACGUGGGCAACCUGCCUGUAAGAUCGGAAUAACCCCGGGAAACCGGGGCUAAUGCCGGGUAAUACUUUCUUUCGCAUGAAGGAAAGUUGAAAGAUGGCUUCUCGCUAUCACUUACAGAUGGGCCCGCGGCGCAUUAGCUAGUUGGUGAGGUAACGGCUCACCAAGGCGACGAUGCGUAGCCGACCUGAGAGGGUGAUCGGCCACACUGGGACUGAGACACGGCCCAGACUCCUACGGGAGGCAGCAGUAGGGAAUCUUCCGCAAUGGACGAAAGUCUGACGGAGCAACGCCGCGUGAACGAUGAAGGUCUUCGGAUCGUAAAGUUCUGUUGUUAGGGAAGAACAAGUACCGUGCGAAUAGAGCGGUACCUUGACGGUACCUAACGAGGAAGCCCCGGCUAACUACGUGCCAGCAGCCGCGGUAAUACGUAGGGGGCAAGCGUUGUCCGGAAUUAUUGGGCGUAAAGCGCGCGCAGGCGGUUCCUUAAGUCUGAUGUGAAAGCCCACGGCUCAACCGUGGAGGGUCAUUGGAAACUGGGGAACUUGAGGACAGAAGAGGAGAGUGGA
rnacentral:rRNA from 1 species